AUUGAACGCUGGCGGCAGGCCUAACACAUGCAGGUCGAACGGUAACAGGAAGAAGCUUGCUUCUUUGCUGACGAGAGGCGGACGGGUGAGAAAUGUCUGGGAAACUGCCUGAUGGAGGGGGAUAACUACUGGAAACGGUAGCUAAUACCGCACAACGUCGCAAGACCAAAGAGGGGGAGAUUUGGGCCUCUUGCCAUCGGAUGUGCCCAGAUGGGAUUAGCUAGUAGGUGGGGUAACGGCUCACCCAGGCGACGAUCCCUAGCUGGUCUGAGAGGAUGACCAGCCACACUGGAACUGAGACACGGUCCAGACUCCUACGGGAGGCAGCAGUGGGGAAUAUUGGACAAUGGGCGCAAGCCUGAUGCAGCCAUGCCGCGUGUGUGAAGAAGGCCUUCGGGUUGUAAAGUACUUUCAGCGGGGAGGAAGGGAAGCAAGUUAAUACCUUUGCUUAUUGACGUUACCCACAGAAGAAGCACCGGCUAACUCCGUG
rnacentral:rRNA from 1 species